rnacentral:rRNA from 1 species
AACGAACGCUGGCGGCAGGCUUAACACAUGCAAGUCGAGCGGGCACUUUCGGGUGUCAGCGGCGGACGGGUUAGUAACGCGUGGGAACGUGCCCUUUGCUCUGGAAUAGCCCUGGGAAACUGGGGGUAAUACCGGAUGUGCCCUGAGGGGGAAAGAUUUAUCGGCAAGGGAUCGGCCCGCGUCUGAUUAGGUAGUUGGUGGGGUAACGGCUCACCAAGCCGACGAUCGGUAGCUGGUUUGAGAGGAUGAUCAGCAACACUGGGACUGAGACACGGCCCAGACUCCUACGGGAGGCAGCAGUGGGGAAUCUUGGACAAUGGGGGCAACCCUGAUCCAGCCAUGCCGCGUGGGUGAUGAA